GAUGAAGAACGCAGCGAAAUGUGAUAAGUAAUGUGAAUUGCAGAAUUCAGUGAAUCAUCGAAUCUUUGAACGCACAUUGCGCCCCUUGGUAUUCCGGGGGGCAUGCCUGUUCGAGCGUCAUUAUAACCCCUCAAGCUCAGCUUGGUGUUGGGGCCUGCCGACUGGCAGCCCUUAAAAUCAGUGGCGGCGCCAUCUGGCUCUAAGCGUAGUAAUUUCUCUCGCUAUAGAGUCCCGGUGGAUGCUUGCCAGCAACCCCCAACUUUCUAUGGUUGACCUCGGAUCAGGUAGGGAUACCCGCUGAACUUAAGCAUAUCAAUAAGCGGAGGA
rnacentral:misc_RNA from 1 species